CCUGACUUCAAGAUCUUCCCGCCUUGGCCUCCCAAAGUGCUGAGAUGACAGGCGUGAGCCACUGCGCCCGGCCUCCGCUGGUUAUUUUCAAGUUUGAUAGAAGUUGAGGAUUUAAAUAUUUACUAAAGGGCUCAGGGUAACUAUAUUUGUUACGUAAAAUUUAAGUUAAUUUUUGAUUAUUAUGUGUAAUUUGAAUUAGGUCCUGUAAUGGUGGGUUCAGAAAGUCUCAUUUUAUAUCUUUGGUUUUUUUUUUGUUUUGUUUUUAUUUUUUUUUGAGACAGAGUUUCACUCUUGUUGCCCAGGCUGGAGUGCAAUGGCGCAAUCUUGGCUCACUGCAACCUCCACCUCGCGGGUUCAAGGGAUUAUCCUGUCUCAGCUUCCCAGGUAGCUGAGAUUACAGGUGCCCACCACCACGCCUGGCUAAUUUUUUGUAUUUUUCAUGAAGUUGGGGUUUUACCAUUUUGGCCUGGCUGGUCUUGAACUCCUGACCUCAGGUGAUCCACUCACCGUGGCCUCCUGAAGUGCUGGGAUUACAGACCUGAGCCACAGCGCCCGGCCUUGGUGGUGGUCUUAUUGAAGGGGAAACACUUUUGAAAUCAAUAGGAUGAAGGUUUUUUAAAAACAAUGAAGUCUUAAAUCAUUAGAUUUUAAAGUGGGGUCUGGAGGUGGAAGACAGCUUAUUUUUGCUGUGUAACAUUUAGUACUUAACCAUACAUAAUUAUCAAUGCAAGUUUUUUGUCCUAGGUGCAAGAUUAUAUUUAUUUGAGAGUAUCAGGUGAACAAGUUUACAUUUAAAGGCGAGAAUUGUGUUAAGCAUUUGGUAUUGUCAUUAUAGUUUUAGUAAAACCAUCAAGUUAUCUCGAUAGAGUUUGAAACUAAGCUCUUUGGUGGACUGCUACUGUUUAUUAAGUAGGUAUCACAUUUCUAUAGCAAGACAUAGUUGAGUUGUGUAAAUCUUGUAUUUUGAAGGAUUGAAUUGUGAAAAUUAUUUGUCUUUUGGCAAUCUUUCUGAAUAGAGAGCGUGCAUGAGCAAGUUUGCAUUGCAGUUAAUAGGUGAAAAUUGCUGAGCACCUAAGUAACUAAAAAGGAGGUGAUGAAUUAGGUUACAGAAUUAGUUUUGUCCACCCUUUACCUGUCUACUCCAUUAUUUGAUUUUUGCCAGCAUUCAGCAUGCUUUUUCUGUAAAGGACCAGUAAAUAGUAAUUAUUUUAGGCUUUGCGGCCAGGGUGCAAAAUUGAGGAUAUUAUGUAGGUACUUAAUUUUAAAAGAAAGAAAAAAUUUACAGUUUUUUAAAAUUUCAGUCCGAAAUGUCAAUCUGUAAAUUUUUUGUUGAUUAAAAUACAACAAUAUAAGAUAGAACAUUUUGUAAUACAGGCCUACAAAUGAGAAAUGAGAAUUUUAUUUUUGUGAGGGUAGGGGAGAUAACAUUUAGCUGAAUUGGGGUUCAGAGUUAGUGUUUUCUGUAAUCAAAUCGAUUGCUAAUGUUUAUCUGUAAAAACCGUUCUUACCUUCCGGGCUGUACAAAAACAGGCGAUAGGCCAGAUUUGACCAUGGUCCAUAGUUUCCCCACCCUUGAUUUAUUCUAUAAAACUAGUAGAAUUCGACUAACUGUUUUGUUUCAUCAAAGCUUUUUUUUUUUUGAGACAGAGUCUUGCUCUGUCGUCUAGGCUGGAGUGCCGUGGCGCAAUUUCGGCUCACUGCAGUCUUCGCCUCCCAAGUUCAAGCAAUUCUGCCUCAGCCUCCUGAGUAGCUGGGAUUACAGGCGUGUGGCACUACACCCAGCUAAUUUUUGUAUUUUUAGUAGAGACAGGGUUUCACCAUGUUGGUCAGGCUGGUCUCAAACUCCUGACCUCAUGAUCCGCCUGCCUUGGCCUCCCAAAGUGCUGGGAUUACAGUCGUGAGCCACCGUGCCUGGCCAUCAAAGCAUUUUUAAUAUAGAAGGUCAGUUGAGUUGCUGCCUAGGAUGCAACCUGAUCUUAAUUUACAAAGUAAUUAAAUUAUUAUAAAAUAAGUUUGCAUUCAUAGAUUAAAAAGUACACAUUUAUUUUAUUAUUAUUAUUUUUUUUUGAGAUGGAGUUUCGCUCUUGUUGCCCAGGCUGGAGUGCAAUGGUGCAAUCUUGGCUCACUGCCACUUCCACCUCCUGGGUUCAAGUGAUUCUCCUGCCUCAGCCUCCCGAGUAGCUGGGAUUACAGGCAUGCGCCACCAUGCCUGGCUCAUUUUGUAUUUUUAGGAGAGAUGGGGUUUCUCCAUGUUGGUCAGGCUGGUCUCGAACUCCCGACCUCAGGUGAUCUGCCCACCUCGGACUCCCAAAGUGCUGGGAUUACAGGUGUGAAACACCACGUCCUGCUAAAAAGUACACAUUUAAAAUCUAAGUUCCAUUUUCCCGUCAUGUUUAUUAAUUUGUCCCAUUGCAGGAUAUGUUUCUGUUGUCCGCAUGGGUAGAGAUAAUUUUAAAAGCUUGGUUAAGUAAGAACUGAUUUUCUUAAUUAUUGCCCUUUAGGUUAAAAAAAAAAAGUCUGGGGAAUUUUUAAGCAAUCUGCCAGCCAAGAAGCAAAUUUAAGUCCCACCUAGUUUAGUUCCUACAGAAAUGGGUAGGAAUAGGCUAGGCAUGGUGUUUCAGACCUGUAAUUUCAGCAUUUCGGGAGACUGAGUUAGGAGGAUUGCUUGUGUAACAUUUAGUACUUAACCUUACGUAAUUAUGAAUGCAAGUUUUUUGUCCUGGGUGCAAGAUUAUAUUUAUUUGAGCGUAUCAAGUGAACAAGUUUACAUUUAAAGGCGAGAGUUAUAGGUCAGCCCUGGCAACAUAGUGAGACCCUAUAUCUACAAAAAUUUUAAAAAAUUAGCUGGGCGUGGUGGCUCAUGACUAUAGUCCCAAAUACUCAGGAGGCUGAGGCAGGAGGAUCACCUGAGCCCAGAAGUUCGAAGGUUGCUAUGAAUGUGCCGGUGCACUCUAGCCUGGGCAGUAGAGGGAGAUGGUGUCUCAAAAAAAAAAAAAAAAAAAAAAAGUAUGGGAAUCAUUUAAUCAUCUUGUUAGAUGCCUGAUCUUAUUACUUAUUAGGACUAAUUAUUAAGAAAUUAAAGCACAACUCAUUUGCUGUUGUCUUCAGCGUAGUUGGUGACUUUGGAAGGUGGCAGAUUUAGCCCAGUGAUUGUCGUUUCUCAAAAUGUUUUCAGAACUCGUUUUUUACUAUUACAACAACAUAAUAUCCAUUGUUGGAAUAAGCAUAUCACUCCCUUUAAAGUCAUACUCUCAGUCGUGAUAUUAAUUCUGGUAUAUUUAUUAAAGUCAGCUUGUGCUUUACUCUUUCUAGAAGUAUUCAACUUCUAUAGGCUAACACUGCCCCAACAAAGUAAAAAUAUAGGUCACGAGAAGGGCAUCUUUUAUUGAAUCCAUUUUGCUAGAUUUCGUGUGAGCUGUUUCUGAAGUCUCCCAAGAAAAUUUUCUGAAAUUUCUUGAAUUUUUAAAUAUGCUCCUUUUCGAUGACCUUUUGAUAAUUAUUUCCUUCUUUAAAUCUGACCUACAGUAACAUUACCUUUCUAAAGAACAGAAAUCCUUGGUGUUGGGGGAGGAGCAGCUUUUAUAUAGUUGCUUAUGAGGUUGGUUUUGUUUUUUUCCUAAGGAAGGCUGGGUUGCUUUUGUGAUCUUAUCUAUUUCAAAUGGUUAAUCAAUUCUAUUCACUUCUCCUGUAUACAGCUUCAUAAAGGUAGAAGAGAUGAACCUUAGAACGUACAGUCUUUUUCUGCAGACAGAAUUUCUUAAUCAUUACAUAAACAUUAUUCGGAAAAGUUUUCAGUAGUUUCAUGGCCCUCCUCAAUAGUAACUUUCAGUAUUUAUACUGAAUAGCUCUUUGCAACUAGCCUAAAAGAGUCCUUUAUUUUUGUUCUUUUUUCUCUCUUAUCUGUGGAGAUUGAAAAUAUAUUGCCAUCCUUCAGAAAGCGCUUCUUACUAUACUCUAUUGGAUGAAACUUUAAUAUUGAAGUUUUCAGUAACUCUAAAGAUACUUGAAUACCUACCAAGUAUAAGGCACUAUGCCAGCACUGCAUAGCUUUCCUUGAAGAAGAGCAAUUACUGCCCUUCAGGAAUAUAUAAUCUAGUAGGAGAAAUAAAAUAUUUACAUGAGUUUUACGUGUAGGAAACUGAAUGAAAAG
rnacentral:lncRNA from 1 species